ensembl:lncRNA
GUGUGGACAGAGCAUGUGGGGGGCAGAUGGACAGUGCAAGGAAAGGGCAAAUUUCACAUACACAGCUAGAGGAAGGGAUAACAGUGGACAAAAGGCAAGACUAGCAGUCUGAAUGGAGAAUGACAAUAGUCUGAUGGAUAACAAAGGCAUUGUGCCAGACUGCACUCUGCUUAUGUUUCAGGUGGCUGCCGGAGGAUCAGCUGGACUACACAAUAAUGCAAAGAGCAGGGGGGCCAGGAAAAGAUACAGCAAGAAGAAGAAGAGAACUGAAAGGGCUGAAAGCUACAGAAUUCUAACUGGAGCAUAAUCCAAUAUUGGCGCCCCAAAUGGUCUAAUCAGCCGCCUUGAGCUCACUGCACCUGCUGUGACUCCUCUUCACCUACGCAAAUGAGAUGUUGGAGAUACACACUGGCGGCUCUUCAAAGCUUUCAGCUGUUCGCCUUUUACAACAUCAUCGUGAUCUGUCUGUGCACUUUAUCAGCACUGCUGAAAAUGUUUCAUCUGCAGCUUUCACAAUGAGAAGCUUCUUGAGUGAUGCUCACACAUAUUUCUACGGUCGAUCAUGACAUUUAUUAUGAAACCUGUCAAAGUUAAAGCCAUGUUCCCAUUGGCAGUAAUAAAGGUGGUGAGAUAUCUGAUAAGUGUUUUCGGUACUGUUCAAC